UAGGGAAAGUGAUGGGGAAAUGUUUAGUCUGAUUUGCUUUGGAUUCUUACUGUCUUAGGAUACUUUUGAUUUCAUCAAGAAUGCAUAGAAUGGUAUAUGCUUGAGAACAUAGGCCUACUUACAAUGAAAUCAUAAAGCAUAAACAAAAUAGUCUUUUUAUCAAAUGAUUUUUGUAUGAUAA